ensembl:lncRNA
AAUUCCCACUGCUAACCACGAAAACACAGGAUCCACCACAUUUACCUGACUACCUGCCGGCCGUUGAUUUGGGAGCCGCAUAUCCCUUAUUUUUUUUGUGCAUUUAACUUAAUCUAUAGUUCUGUCUGUCGAACUGGUCUGUGGUUGGCUUUAAUGUGUACAACGAUAUCAACGACUUAUGCAAUUUUCGGCUGUCUGAGCUACAAGUCUUCCCGAUGUAACGCUCUUGCGGAAUGCGUCGAAAAUCCUGAUUGCUUAUCUGAAUGUAUGCUCGAGUGGUGAGUCCUAAAGUUACACGAUGCAUUGCCAAGGCAACGUGACCCAGUAGAGUCUGGUUAAAG